rnacentral:rRNA from 1 species
GAUGAACGCUGGCGGCGUGCCUAAUACAUGCAAGUCGAGCGAACAGACGAGGAGCUUGCUCCUCGGACGUUAGCGGCGGACGGGUGAGUAACACGUGUAUAACCUACCUAUAAGACUGGUAUAACUUCGGGAAACCGGAGCUAAUACCGGAUAAUAUAUUGAACCGCAUGGUUCAAUGGUGAAAGACGGUUUUGCUGUCACUUAUAGAUGGAUCCGCGCCGCAUUAGCUAGUUGGUAAGGUAACGGCUUACCAAGGCGACGAUGCGUAGCCGAGCUGAGAGGGUGAUCGGCCACCUGGGAACGGAGCCACGGACCAGACUCCUACGGGAGGCAGCAGUAGGGAAUCUUCCGCAAUGGGCGAAAGCCUGACGGAGCAGCGCCGCGUGAGUGAUGAAGGUCUUCCGAUCGUAAAACUCUGUUAUUAGGGAAGAACAAAUGUGUAAGUAACUAUGCACGUAUUGACGGUACCUAAUCAGAAAGCAACGGCUAACUACGUG